UUCAGACAGAUUUGUGUGAGGGAAAUGGCCUUUUGCGUAUCGAGAAAAAGUUUUUGAUCUUGGAGUCCAGCUCACAAAAAUGGGAGCAAAAACAAAAGUGUUGCAUUUCUAUUUUUGUUCAGUGUAUAUGCUUUAAAAGUCUCGACAUUUCUCGCACUUAAGCCUUCAUUUCAUCUCGUCCUUUGUGUUUGAGUGCAUUCUUACAGAUGGAGGCUUGGCUUUGGUUCACUUUUAUGACUGAGGCGGAUGCUUGCUGUUAUUCUGACGCGCACAAGCACACACACACACAUAGUUGAUUGUCUUCAAGUCAGUCAAUGUGUUGAAUUUCAUUUCUGUUCCUUCAGCUGGUGAAUUCUUCUUCCCUCCUUUUUUGGGUUAGCGUGCGCUGUGGGCGUGUCACAUGUAUUUGUGCCUGUGAAGAUUGUUAUUCAUCCAAGUCAUUCGAUUUUCAGAGCGUUGAGUCGAUGGCAACCGGCGGAAUGUUCCGGUUGUCUUAGAAGACGUUUUGGCUCUCGUGCGAGCGAGCUUCGUCGGUUCACGCAACAAGGCUUAGUGCGGACAGACGAGCCUGAUGUCACACUGACCAACGUGUGUUUGUCUUACUAUUGUUUAUGCUGUUGCUGCCCCCAUGUGUGUGUGCGUGUAUCGCUCUGUGUCGGUCCGUCUGUCACACGCACACACAUGCACACGCACGCACAGCCCGUUUCUCCAGGUUUCCUGCUGAGAAUUCGAGUGUAGGGUCUGCAGUCGACUGAUGACGAUUUGACGAGUGUACGUCACAAAUAAGGGAAAGGGGAAGGGGGGUGGGGGAGCCAGAAAGAGAGAGCGAGAGCGAGAGCGAGAGAGAGGACAGACAGACUCCGAGCUGGUCUUCAUGCUCCUUCGUGUGUUUGUGAGCGAGGUAGACGUGAGAGCAGUCAAGAUGGAGUGCCGGCACAGAUGAAGACCGCCCUGGCUUCGGUAUGUAAUAUUUGCCGGCUGUUUGUCUGUCUGAUCGUCGCGGCGAAUGAGUUUGUGAGCGGCGUGCUUGCGAGUGCUCACCGAUGUCGUUGUCAUGUGCGAGCAGCGAUGUCGGGCUGUCCUUACACAAACGCAGUGGGUGAGUGGAGGUGAUGGAAAUCGGAGCUUUGAAACUUGUUGGGAUGAGUUAGGUGAGGAGUCUGCUGUUUACCAGCUAGUUGGAGCUUUGUGACUAAGAGGCUGGCAAGAGCAUCAGUAUGAUUGGUCGAAGAUGCAUUCCUGACUUGAUAUUUGCCGACCCUAAUUGUUUGCUUAUUAAUCAGCGUCAGGUUUCGUCUUCAUUUAUUUGAACGCUGGCUUAGGCAUAAAAUGGUAGCACAGUUCGAAUGAACACAUGAUAGUAAAGUGGCUCCCCACUGAAAUAAGGGAGCACAACACAGAUUUUGAUUGCAUUUGACAAAAUGAGUUGAUGAAUAUUGUUGAUUGCUUUCUUCUGAAGAGCUAAAAGAUGAAAUAAGAAGAAGAUUACACUGGGGCUGCACGAUGUGUCGUUUCAUCGUCGUCAUCGUGAUAGGCACAUCGCAAAGGUCCCGACGAUGUAGGGAGAAAAGGACUCGGGUACCCGGCGUGAACUGCGCCCAUCGUUCCACCAAUCACAAUCGUACCUUGAAUGGUGCUCACAAAACAUUCUCCCCGAAUAAGAGGCAAAAUGUUAUCCUCCUCAAAAUAAGCAAAGUUCGGCCUUUCUUUCCCAACAAUGCCGAAUAGAUAUCGGCGAGUUGCAGUCCACUCAGCGGGGGGAAGCCUCCCGACUUCCUCGGAGGCUGUUGCGUCACCACUUCCAGAUACGGGACGGCCGCCGCCGCUGCGCUUUGCCCAGUGUGAAGGGCCCUUAAGAGUGAUCAAAUCUUGAGAUUUUCGAUUUGCCACCUCAAGAAAUCGCAUCGGGACACCCCUAGUUUUAAAAAUCUUUCCCAAAAAGUGCUUUGUUUUGAAACGUGCAAAUUCUGCCUUUAUUAUGCCUCUUGUUCAACACGUCAGUUGUAGUUUAGCAGAAUUACACAGAUGCUCUGUAUUGAGUGAAAGCACUCAAUUAUUGUCUUUACACGCGAUUUGUACGCGGACUAAUGAAUCGUAUCGCAUCGAACUCAAGCUUGAACGGGCCGAUCGCCCGGUCAAAAAAUAAAACAUCGGUUUGAUGUCACUGACGCGGACGCAUCUCCGUCUUUGACCGUCUUCCGCUCUGUUAAAAGUCUCGCGAGACUUGCCGCGGUUACGUCAAAUAGCACGUAAUCGCGGACUGGGACGGGAUUCAUAACGGCCCGGCAAGUUGAAAGUCCGAAGUGCGGAAGCAAUCGGGAUUUCAAAUGAAAAAUAAUAUCGAAUCGAACCGUAUCGAAGGGAAUCGUAAGCCCGCUGAAUGGAACCCGGUCGCAUCGAUCCGUUUAAAAUGCACCGGCCUUGCGUACGUUCUGGCAUGUAUAGCGAUACAUACGGAAUCGGAGAUGCGCGGCCCGAGCCGCUUCCAGAGAUAUCUUGUCUCUGUAAAGGUGUUUGCUGUGGAAGAAGGCUUAGGAAAUGCCUCAUCAUCAACUGGCCCGAUCAUCAUUAUUUGAUUGCGGCUCUGGUGUACUACUGCACGCGUCGCCGUCAUUAUUACACCUCCGAAACCCUCACGCGCUUACGUGCCGCACUUACGCCGCCGUUUGAUCAUGCAAUGCGCUGAGGGCCAAAAGGGCGAUAUGUGUAAAUGUCGCAUUCGCAGAAAAUGGAAGGGGUUGAACUUGGCACCGCAGGGAAAUGCUGUGUUUCAUCCUCAACAUGUUGUUGGUCAAUGUUUCUAAGUUGGACUUCAUCACUUAACUCACAAACAUCAACAGUAAUUGCGAGGUUUUAUCGAAGCAUGAAGAAAUCAAAUGCUGUCAUGGCACUGAGGAAACGAGGAAACGAUGGCCUUGGAGAGGUAGACAUGCUAAUGACUCAGUUGGACUCGCUGGAGCGCUGUUUUGUAAAUAUGGCUGAGGGGAGGCCCUUGCAAGCGAGAGGACUUUCCGGUCAGUCCUACUUGGCAAUAUUCCUUCAAAGUGUGAGUCACGCUUGAAGUGGCAAACGUCCUCUUUUGGCAUUUGAGAGCUCACAGUUGCAUCGCCAGAUGAAAACCCAAACAUAUUUCUCUCUCUUUUCUUUCCUUGUGGGUGUGGAAGAUGCGCUUUGAAUUUCAAUGUCGCGUCCUACAAAGUCGCUCGCCGUUGUUUUGUUUGGGUCUUCCGGGGCCGAUCCCGGACUUCCCGUCGAUUCAUUCGUCUUCCUCUCGAUUUCAGCCCCGUUCGGCAGCCCGCAUGAACGUCUCCAAACCGCCUUCCGCCUCCCACCUCACCAUCCCUCCUUCCUCCGCUUCCACGCCCUCCUCGUCCGCCUCCUCCCCGUCGGCCCCGCCCCCUCCCUCGCCCGUUAAGAUUUCUAUGCAGGAGCACUUCGCCAUCAACGUGUGCCCGGGCCCCAUCCUCCCCAUCCCGCAAAUCUCAGAUUUCUUCCCCCGUUUCCACGACUACCCCUGCACGCCGCCGCCUCCGCGGGAGAAGAAGAUCCUGAGGGAGGAGACUUUCAACGGGGAGAUGGGCGGCGGCUUCCGAGAAGGCGAGAGGCGAGGGGACGACAGCGCCGACGGGGACGGAGUAGCUGACUCCGACGAUGACGACACCUAUUUGGGGACGUUGGAGUUCACGCUGCUCUUUGAUCAGGAGAAUAACUGUCUUCAUUGCACCAUUCACAAGGCAAAGGGACUGAAAGCCAUGGACUCCAAUGGGCUGGCUGAUCCGUACGUCAAGCUUCAUCUUCUUCCCGGGGCUAGCAAGGCGAACAAACUUCGCACAAAGACUCUGAAGAACACGCUGAACCCGGUGUGGAACGAGACUCUGGUGUAUCACGGGAUCACAGCGGCCGACAUGACCACCAAAACGCUCAGGCUGUGCGUUUGCGACAUGGACAGACUCGGCCGAAAUGAAUUCAUCGGUGAGGUGAGAGUGGCCCUGAAGAAGCUCAGAGAGGGCGACAACAAGCGUUACAAUAUGGGCUUGGAGAGAAUUGCACAGAACAAAGAAUCGAACAAUCCGGCGGUGGAGCCGGGAGCGCCGGUGGCAGAGGAGGAGCGGGGACGCAUCCUGGUGUCGCUGUGCUACAACACGGAGAAGGGCUGCCUGCUGGUCGGGAUCAUACGCUGCGCCCAUCUGGCCGCCAUGGACUCCAACGGCUACUCUGACCCCUUUGUCAAAAUCAUCUUGCAGCCAGACAUGGGGAAGAAGUCCAAGUACAAGACGUCCGUGAAGAAAAAGACUCUCAACCCUGAAUUCAAUGAGGAAUUUUCCUAUGAUGUGACUCUGGACUUGCUGGCUAAGAAAACUCUUGAGAUCUCAGUGUGGGACUACGACUUGGGAAUGAGCAACGACUUCAUAGGUGGCGUGGAGCUGGGCAUCGACGCGAGCGGACAGAGACUCCGACACUGGUUCGAGUGUCUGAAAAACAAAGGGAAAAAAGUGGAGUGCUGGCACACGCUCACACAGCAAGGAGCCCCCAGCGGCGACAAAACGGACUAAAUGGCAGCCGACACACACGAAAGAUAGCGAACACGCAAUAAGAAUCGUGUGAUCGUCACGAAGCCGAAAGCCAUCAUUUCAUCAUCCAACAGCGCCGAUUAUUUGGAAAUGAUCUUCGUUCUGACAUCGGUGAUGUUAAAAGAUCGGGUGCCGAAUGAAGUGUUUCUGCCUUGGUGCUUUCACUGUGCUGCAUACCCAUCGACGUGCAGAAAGAUUGAUGUCUGAGAGGUGAGCUUUUCAUUGUGACUUCAAGUGUGCAAUAUCAAUCAAUAAAUGAUGCAACGUUUAUUUCCUGCAGGCCAAGAUCAUGCAUUUGCAAAUGGCUGUUGUCACGUGACUGUUUACAGCUCCUCCAAUGCACCUUUGUAAAGUAUGUUCUUGGACACCCAUGACAUAAGGACUUCUUUUUAUACCACGGAAUACUGUAUCAGGUUGAUCUUCAUGCACUGAGUGGCAAAGAUGACCCGAAGUCUCGUUUGAAAGUUGGCAGUCAGCAAAAGCGUCCCCAGCUGAAUGUGUGCAUGCCGACUGCGUGCGCGCGCAUAUUGGCCGGCCUUCGUUCGGCUCUCAUUUCUCAACGCAGUCCCGACGACGGUUGGGAAUCUCUGACAUGAGGCCCGUUCGAUACGGAUCUAGAUACACGGGUAGCGAUUCGAUUCAAAAACGAUAGCUUUACAGGCGCAGUGAUUCGAUACGAUUCGCGAUUCGAUGCGGAAAAAGUGCGAUAGUUAACAUUUGCAGGUGUAGAUGCUAAUUAUUAAGAACCGUGACUUGACUUAACCCUUCCAUCCAUCCAUUUUCUUUACCGCUUCUCCUCACGCGGGUCACGGGCUGCUGGAGCCUAUCCCAGCUAUCGUCAGGCGGGAGGCGGGGUACACCCUGAACCGGUCGCCAGCCAAUCGCAGGGCACAUAGAAACAAACAACCAUUCGUGCACACAUUCACACCUAAGGGCAAUUUAGAGUCUUCAAUCAAGCUACCACGCAUGUUUUUGGGGUGUGGGAGGAAAACGGAGUGCCCGGAAAAAAGCCACGCAGGCACGGGGAGAACAUGCAAACGCCGCACAGGCGGGGCCGGGAUUUGAACCCCGGUCCCCAGAACUGCGAGGCAGAUGUGCUAAGCAGUCGUCACCGUGCCGCCUAAUAAAAAAACGAAAAAAUAAAAAAAGUAAUUACCUGAUUCAUUAAAUCAUGAAUCAAUUGGGGCUAAUCACAAUUUUUGGUUCAUUCUCACUGAUCACACCCAAGCAUGAUUACCUCCAGACCUCUUCAAUCAAUAAAUCACUGAAACAGAAUCUGUCCCGACUAAAUCCAGAUCUAAAAAAUGACACAAGCCAAACAAAUUCCAGAACAGUCGAGAAAUAAAGUCAUUGAGAUCUAUCAGUCUGGGAAGGGUUACAAAAGGCGUUUCUAAAGCUUUAGGAUUCCAGCGAACUGCAGGGAGAGCCAUUAUCCUCACAUGGUGAAAACAUGGAACAGUGGUGAACCUUCCCCAGCCUACGAAGAACUCAUCCAGGAGGCCACAAAGGAACUCAGGACAACUUCUAUUGACCACGGGGUCAGCCGUGGACCAAUGGUUAAGCUCAUCGCCCGGCACCCUGGGAUCCCCGGUUCACGACCCUGACCGGACCAUCCACCAACAUCUCCCAGACUCACGGCUGUGGUGUCCUUGAGCAAGACACCGAUACCCCAAACGGCUCCCGGGGCGCUUAAGUUUCCCCCCCCUGCUCCAGUGUGUUCCACCAACAAGUGUGUGUGUUCACUGUGAUGGGUAAAAUGCAGAGAACAAAUUUCAUGUGCUGGUCUUCAUGACAAUGGAGAUGGUUCUUCUUCUGAAGAAGAACUGCAGGCCUCCCUUGCCUCAGUUAAGGUCUGAGUUCAUGACACAACAAUAAGGAAGAGACUGCAGGCAUCCAAAAAUGGCAUCCAUGGUGAAAACCACUGAUCAGCAAAAAGAACAUAAAGGCACAACUUUUGCAAAAAAAAAAAAAAAAAAAAAAACUUUUGGGGGAUUAUUAUAUGGACUGCCGAGAUGAAAGUUGAAGGCGUGUGUCUCGUUACAUCUGGCAUAAAUGUAGCACAGCAUUUCAGAAAAAGAACAUCAUACCAACAGUCAAACAUGGUGGUGGAAGUGUGAUGGUCUUGGGGUGCCUUGUUCCUUCAGGACCUGGACAACUUGCUGCGCCUGAUGGAACCAUGAAUUCUGCUCUUUAACAGAAAAUCCUGCAGGAGAAUGUUCAGCCAUCAGUUUGUAAACUCAGGCUGAACCACACUUGGGUUCUGCAGCAGCAUAAUGAUCCAAAUCACACCAACAAGUCAACUUCUGAAUGGCUUGAAAAAAAACUAAAUGAAGGUUUUGGAGCGGCCUCGUCAAAGUCCAGACUUGAAUCCGAUUGAAAUGCAGUGGCAUGACCUUCAAAAUGCCGUUCAUGCUGGAAAACCCUCCAUUUGUGCUGAAUUCAAACAAUUGUGCAAGGAAGAGUGGGCCAAAAUAUCUCCACAGAGAUGUGAAAGACUCGUUGUCAGUUCUUGAUUUCAGUUGUUGCGGCUGAGGAUGGCCCAACCAGUUCUUGGGUUUAGGGAGCCAGUACUUUUUCACACAGGGCCAAGGUAACUUGUUUUCUUUCUUUAAUAAAUGAAAUUACCAUUUAAAAACAUUUUAAGUUCACUUGGGUUAUAUUAAUCUGAUAUUUACAUUUGUUGGAUGAUCUUAAACAUUAAUGUGGGAAAACUUGAGGAGGCCCAUGCUUUUCACACGUACUGCUUUUUUAUUUGUAUGUUUUAUUUUUUGCCGCUUGCGCACAGACUUUUGGAACUUUUAAGUGGUGAUGAAGAGCUUAGUUCAACUGGAGAUUAUUGUGUCAGCUUCGGGACAUACCAGGCAUCGCGUGCUCUCGGUAAUUUCCUUUUAGGGUCGCACGGUACCAAGACUGGAACGUAUAAGUGGACCGCGAGGACUCGAGUAGAAGCAUUACUUUUGCUGAGUUAUAGCCCAUUUAAUUACCGAGACGUACCCACCUUUGCCAUAUUGUCUGCAUGUUUACAAUCAUUUUCCGGCGGCGGACUUGAGACAAGGUACGUACCGUGACGUCGCAGUCAAUGUUUACAACUCCUGGGGGAACGCUUCUUCGCUAUCGCUGUGACCACUAAAGUAGCUUAACUACUGAAAAGCUAUUUGAUGUUGAAAGAGUGACGCGACGGAGAAAUGUAGUUACACCAGUAGAGUCGCUACUUUCCACCACUGCUGUGUUUGGUUGUAAACAUAGCGUUACCUGCGGAGCACGGCGCGGGUCCUCUCGCGCUUGUUUUACGAGAUGAAAACCGUAAAGCCUCAGGCCGCCGAUUCCUAGCUUCGCGUUAUCCGGUCCGCAGCCCUACAACCGAUGUAUCGAAGGAUUCCUGGCGGAUUUUGUAUCGAUAACGGAGUCCGCUACCGAUACAGUCCUAUCUCUCGCCUUUACGAACGGAUAUCCGGUCACAUCGGUUUACGGUUCCCAAUCCUUGUCCCGACUCCUCCCUAACCAGGCUCCGGUCCACGAAAGCACGCCCAUAGUCAGCCGGAGGCCCGGCGUAGUUAUCAGUCCAGUCGAGCCCUUCGACGACCUCGGGAAUGUCUCGUUGGCGAAUGGCGGAAAGGGCUCGGCUUUCGAAAUCAGCUACGAACACGAAAGGAAAAGCUUUAGCCAGCACGGUGGCUCCUUCUCGACUUUCUCUAUGCGUCAAAAGCUCCCAGAACGCAGGCAGUGAGAUCUUCAAAGCAAACUGAAAUUACUGUGUUCCAUUUUUGGAAGUGACUCCGCCCCUCUUGCGUGCUUGAAUUGCUUUCAUUCGAUGUGCAAUGUAGGGCUGCUUGUUAGCCAUAACCGUCAGUGUGCUGAUGCGUUGGCGGUUCGUGUCAUCCAUCCCGUGUGUUUGUUUUGUUUGCCAUUCAGGACGUUUUGCCUUUGACACUCACCUGCCUCGGUAAAGGGCACGAGCGGCGACUUUGCCCCGGCUGUCGCUGCCGCUGUCCCGAUCGCAGUGGGCCCGACCGGCAUCACGUGCUCACGUCGCGUCGCUACUUCGCCAAAUGAAUUCAAGUUGUUUCACGUUGUGACUUUGGAAAAUAAACGACGACAGCGUAGCAAAUAAUUUGAAAUGACUUUGUUCAUUUUUCACUUGCAAUUCUAAUUGUCUUUUGGUUUCAAAUCAAACAUGUUUUUGUUUUUGUUUGUCACUCAAAGUAUGCAUCACAACAAGCGCGGAUGUGCGAACCCCGGCAUCGGGAACUAUUGGACUUUUCGAAUCCGGUAGGCAAGCCAUGGAUAAAUCCAAGAAAAGAAAUGUUUCCUAAGAAAACAACGUUCAAUGCUUCGCUCCAUUAACUGUAUUAAAAUCAAACGUCGCUUGCGCCUCACAGAUGACAGCUUUUCCAAUUAUAUGUGUGAAAAUGAAGGUGAGGUCUACAGCCGUGAUGUGCCGACGCUUUACGCUGAGGUUCAGGAGCAAAAUUCUCCUUCUCCAGGUCAAAUUGAAGAAAGUCGGAUUGGCUAGUAUUUCGCUUGUAUGCAGGAUAUUUUACGUUGUCGAGGGAAAUAGUUCUUUUUAUUCCAAGUUGACAGCCGAGUGCGCACUCCACACGCGAUCCAAUGAUGACGGAACACAGACGCAGACGGCCAUUUUGGUUCGGCUUCAAGUUCAUCAAUACGAGGAGGACUCAAAUGGACAUUGGCUUAUUUAUUUGAACUUAAGCUUCGACAAAGCGUCUUUUUUCAGCGUUCAAAUGUUGUUGUUUUUUUUUAACAUGCACAAAUAAAAUGUUGUGUUCCUUGUA